UACGGAGGGUGCAAGCGUUAUCCGGAUUCACUGGGUUUAAAGGGUGCGUAGGCGGGCUUGUAAGUCAGUGGUGAAAGCCCGGGGCUCAACUCCGGAACUGCCGUUGAUACUGCAAGUCUUGAGUACGGUUGAGGUGGGCGGAAUACAUCAUGUAGAGGUGAAAUUCUUAGAUAUGAUGUAGAACACCGAUUGCGAAGGCAGCUCACUAAAGCGUAACUGACGCUGAGGCACGAAAGCGUGGGGAUCAAACAGG
rnacentral:rRNA from 1 species